UCAGGACGAACGCUGGCGGCGUGCCUAAUACAUGCAAGUCGAGCGGAAUGAUGAAGAAGCUUGCUUCUUCUGAUUUUAGCGGCGGACGGGUGAGUAACACGUGGGCAACCUACCUUGUAGAUUGGGAUAACUCCGGGAAACCGGGGCUAAUACCGAAUAAACCAUUUUGCUUCAUGGCAAGAUGUUGAAAGGCGGCUUCGGCUGUCACUACUAGAUGGGCCCGCGGCGUAUUAGCUAGUUGGUAGGGUAAUGGCCUACCAAGGCGACGAUACGUAGCCGACCUGAGAGGGUGAUCGGCCACACUGGGACUGAGACACGGCCCAGACUCCUACGGGAGGCAGCAGUAGGGAAUCUUCCACAAUGGACGAAAGUCUGAUGGAGCAACGCCGCGUGAGUGAAGAAGGUUUUCGGAUCGUAAAACUCUGUUGUAAGGGAAGAACACGUACGAGAGUAACUGCUCGUACCUUGACGG
rnacentral:rRNA from 1 species